GAAUAUGUGAGCUGCCUGUUAGACUGGCCUGAUAGUAGAUGUAUUAAAACAGGAAUCUGGAGACUCAGACGAGGUGCAGACCAACCAUCUCAAAUUUAAUACAAAAAAGGACUUUGAAGACAUAACAAAGGACGACAUAUCUACUUACUUGAGUUCUGAAUGAAGAGACACUCCUCGCCUCUUGUUUUAAGCUGCUCCUGUUUUUAUUUUUGCUGAAGCUGAAACUGAAAGUAUCUUCAACCCUCUUCAACAACGGCCUCUGGUUACAUUAACUAUCAUCGACAGAAGAGGAAGGGUCAGCGAAUAGGAGUAAUCUACAACAUCAGAAACUCGUGAAAACCUGCCUAGUCCAAGUUCAUGAAUAUAAAUGUGAAAACGUACGAUCGACCUGGGAACCGAGGAACAGUUCAAGAGCGUCACGGUGCAGCAGCUGAAGGAGGAGAUACAAAAGACGAGCUCAGCAAGUGACUCACAUCAACAACAACAGCGCAGAAUGGAGAAGAUGUAUCAGGUCAUGGUUUAUGGAUUGAACGGGGAGAUGAAGACGAUUGAUCUCUGCAACACCGAGGAGCAGAUGAAGAACAUGACAGUGCUGCAGUUGAAGGAGAAGAUAUUACAGAGGUAUCCUAAGUACAGUGGAGCUGAUAUAGAACUUAUCUUCAUUGAUAAAAGGCUGGAUGAAGACUCUGCUCCACUGUGUAAAUAUGGAAUACAACACCUGUCUGUCAUAGUGUUAGUUGUAAAAGUGUACGGGGGCGGAGGACCUCUUCCUGAGAGGGGCGAUGGUGGGAUGGGUGACAAAGGAGAUAAAAACCAAAGCAUGGAAAGGCUCUCUGAUCUUUAAACCAUUUUAAUAACAGAUCAAAUCCACUCAUCAGUGACAUAAGACCUCAAACAGUUAUCUGAAGUCAUCUCAACCUAACCUCUGUGAACAGAGCAGGUCCUCCCACUGAAGAACAGUCACAGGAAAGUUAGUGUGAACAUGUUGGCUUGGACAGAAACACAUUCAUUUGCGUGAUUGUUGUGUAAAUGUUAAUCCAGGAACCUGCUGCUGUUGUGAAACACAUUAACACAGGAAUAAAUAAUUACAUUUUUAAAACCAUCUUCCACUGUUUUUGUGUUGUAGUACUUUAAGUUUGUGUUGUCUGUUGUUUGAAGCAUGUGAUCAGGUGUUUUGUUGCUCUACCAGCAACAUGUUCAGUCAGUUUGAUGACAUGAUUUGCACACACCUCGAAUCUGCUUUAAGAAGUAUUUAAUAGGUUAGUGUUGACGUUUUAGUUUUCAUACCAAACACCAAACUGUCUGGACUGUGAUAUGAAACAGAGCAUUUUGACAGUAACACAUCAUCAAACUAAAAGUGUACCACUAUGUAUGCAGGUGAAAAGGGACAGAUUUUUGUAGUAUUUUUUUUCUGACUUUGUUGGAUAUUAAAACCUUUUACAAACAUC